AUCACAACCUUGCUUCAAAACAUACAAAAGUUAAUAUACUAAAACGGGUUGCCUCAGCUUUCUAAGCGUCUCUGAGCAGGGAACGCUUUGCGCAGGCGCCUGCUUGAUCUCAAGUGGCAGGGAGUUCCCAAGGGCAGGUGCUGCCACACGAAACGAUCAGGCGCUGAGCAACACGUGGCACCAACUCCACCCAUGAAAAUGGCCCCCUGGGCACAAGUGGGGCAGGUUUUGCAGAUUGUCAAACCUUUCUGGAUAUCACAAUUCCAAAGAAAAUUCCAUCCAACAUGACUGAAGAUGGUCUAGGAGAAGAUGAGAGCACACAGACUUACAUUAUUACA